GAUGAACGCUGGCGGCGUGCCUAAUACAUGCAAGUCGAGCGAACAGACGAGGAGCUUGCUCCUCUGACGUUAGCGGCGGACGGGUGAGUAACACGUGGAUAACCUACCUAUAAGACUGGGAUAACUUCGGGAAACCGGAGCUAAUACCGGAUAAUAUAUUGAACCGCAUGGUUCAAUAGUGAAAGACGGUUUUGCUGUCACUUAUAGACGGAUCCGGGCCGCAUUCGCUAGUUGGUAAGGUAACGGCUUACCAAGGCAACGAUGCGUAGACGCCCCGAGAGGGACGUCGGCCACCCGGGCUCUGAGACACGGCCCCGACUCCUACGGGGAGCCACAGUCGGGACUCCUACGCGAGGGGGCAGUGCCUGAUGGAGCACCGCCGGCUGAGUCAUGAACGUCUUCGGCCGGUAGAGCGAUGUUAUUAGGGGAGAAGUAAUGUGCAAGUACCUAUGCACGUCAUGACGGUACCUGGUCAAAAAGCCCCGGCUAACUACGUG
rnacentral:rRNA from 1 species